ensembl:lncRNA GUSBP5 GUSB pseudogene 5
AGACGGCGGCCCAGCAGAGGAGCGGAAAGCAUGGUCCGGGGGGCGGCGGACGCCUGGUAGGCGCUCGGGCCGUUGUUGUGGGGCUGCGCGCUGGCGCUGCAGGGCGGGAUGCUGUACCCAAGAGAGAGGCCGUCGCGGGAGCGGAAGAAGCUGGACCGCCUCUGGAGCUUCCGCGCCGACUUCUUCGACAAACUGUGCCUUGGCUUCUAGGAGUAGUGGUAUCGGCGUCUGCUGCGAGAGUCGGGCUCCACCAUGGACAUACCGGUUCCCUCCAGCUUCAACGACGUUGGCCAGGACUGGCGGCUGCGGCAUUUUGUAGACCAGAUGUGGUACGAACGGGAGGUGACCUUCCUGGAGCAAUGGACCCAGGACCUGCACACAAGAGUGGUACUGAGGAUUGUCAGUGCCCACUCCUAUGCCAUCGUGUGGGUGAAUGGGGUCGACGCGCUAGAGCAUGAGGGAUCUACCUCCCCUUUGACACCGACAUCAGUAGCCUGUUCCAGGUGGGGCCCCUGCCCUCCCGCCUCCGCAUCACUAUCACCAUCGGCAACAUGCUCAUCUCCUCCACCCUGCCACCAGGGAGCAUCCUCGACAUGGCCGACACCUCCACGUGGGUACCAUCCUGCUUCCACCGCAGACACCCACCUUCCUGUCCCACCCCGUGGGGCAUUACAUUAGGGUAAUUACAUUAGUGUCAAGAUAUGCCAUAAUACUGAGAAUGGAGGAGUCUGAGGCCCUGGUCCAUCAACUGACAGCAUGAACUUCACGUCAAGAAGUGAGAUUGGUGAAUAAGUGAAGACAGAAGGAAAAUUGGAGAUACAGCUGGAUGUAUGAACCCUGCUCUGAAAACACUCUUUAACGAGUUGGGGUCUUGCUCUGUCGCUCAGGCUGGAGUGCAGUGGCAUGAUCAUGGGUCACUGCAGCCUUGAACUCCUGGGCUUAAGGGAUCUUCUCAUCUCAGUCUCCUAAAUAGCUGGGACUACAGGCUCAGGCCACCAUGCCUGUCCAGUGAUUCAAGUUUGACACACCACACCACGGUGGAUGUGCCUUGUCAUGACACAUCUCAGCAGCACUAGAAGAUACAUCCAAAGUCCUGUGAGCAAGGUCUGUGGUAUCUGUUUAUUAUGGCAGCCCAGUAAGACUAAGACAGGCCAUCACAAGACGUGAACGUUUUGGACCUUCUCUUGGGCCCUAGUAAACAGAAAUCAGGCUAUUUAUUAAACUAAUCCACGUUCUGAACAGUUAUUGCUACUGGAAACCAGUCCCGAUCCAGACCACAAAAGACGAUUCUUGGAUCUUGCACAAGAAAGAAAGGGAAGAUCUGGCAAGAGUUAGCGUGCAGUUCUACAUUGUGACAAUUCAUGAGAGCUAAGGACUGGCUGUCUCUUGGGACAAAUAGGCUUUCUUGAGUCUGGUAAGUGCUCCACUUGAUGCUUGCUUCCAUUUCUUAGAUUAGGUUCUACUGUGGUAAGGCCUCAAAAUCUCAGUGUCUUGCAGCAACACUGGUUCAUUUCCUGCUCACAUUACAUUUGGUCUAUGACGGUGACAAGUUCCAGGAUCCAGACUGAAGGAGCCACCCCCAUUUGGAAUAUGCUGUUCUUGUUGCAAACUGGGGGAAAAAGGCCAGAUAAGGAAUGGCUUUUAAUGCUUCCUCUCAGACUGUGUUAUGGUUUUUUUCUCACAUUCUAUUAGCCAAAGUAAAUCAGUGGCCAAGCUGACCUCAAUGGGACAAGUAAAUAUAAUUCUUCCAAAUGGAAGUCCUGCAAGUCAUAGGUCAAUGGUGAGGAUAUAUAAAACACUUACAGGAAGGGCCCUAAUAAUUGGGAGCAAAAACACAAUCCAUCGCAUUCAUUUAUACUCUUUCUAAGCUUUUGGCAUUUGGGUUUGGAAAUCUAAUUUAUUUAGGAGUCUUCUUCAACACCUUCUAGUGAUGAGAUUUCUUUAACCCAGUUUUCAGUUUCCUUUCUUUAAAAUUAUAAUGAGAUGUGAUGUGCGUUGAAGAAACCCCAGAAGUGAGAAACUCUCAUCACUACAAUGGUGAUGUAGACAGUGGAAAACUGUUCCCAGUUGCCUCUAAGUCCAUCGUGCUAUACUGCUGGAAUCAGGUAUCAUACAUAAUCUUUCUGCUGAGAAUUGAUAGGUCCAGCUUGUUCUACAUCCAAAUAAUAAUUCAACCAAUGAUUUGUGAGCACCUACCGGGCACUGUGCCAAGUGUGGAAGACACAACCUUCAGUAACUCAAGUUUCCCUUCAGGAACUGACAGCUUAAUUUGGAAACAAAUAAAUUAAGAAGGCAAUUGCAUUAUGGAGUGUCAAGUGGAUGAUAGUAGUAAGCAAAGGGUGUUAUAAGGGUACAUAAGAGGGGUACCUAACUCAGGGUUGAGGUUCUGGAAAGGUUUUCCAGAGCAAGCAAUGAGACCUAAAGGAUGAGUAGACAAGUCACGGGAGAAGUAAGAACAUUUUAAGCAGAGAAAACAGCAUGAGCAAUGGUCUGAUAUCAAGAAAGGCAGAGAUAGUGCAAGAAUACACAAUGUAGUAGUUUUCAAAACUGUUUGAAAUUUUAAUCUCACAUUUGUUCUUUUCAAUGUCUAGGAUAUCAAUUCAUUCUGCGAUUUACCUUUGUAAAGAUGAAUUUAGCCCUGGUUCUCUAUAUGAAUACUAGAGGAAGUAUAUUGAUAAAAGAAAAGGAACAAAUAUGUAGUCAUUUCUAAGAUUUAUUUUUAU